UACGUAGGGUGCGAGCGUUGUCCGGAAUUAUUGGGCGUAAAGAGCUUGUAGGCGGUCUGUCGCGUCUGCUGUGAAAAUCCGGGGCUCAACCCCGGACUUGCAGUGGGUACGGGCAGACUAGAGUGUGGUAGGGUAGACUGGAAUUCCUGGUGUAGCGGUGAAAUGCGCAGAUAUCAGGAGGAACACCGAUGGCGAAGGCAGGUCUCUGGGCCAUAACUGACGCUGAGAAGCGAAAGCAUGGGGAGCGAACAGG
rnacentral:rRNA from 1 species